rnacentral:tRNA from 1 species
GCUGUCUUAGCUCAGUUUGGUAGAGCAACUGAAUCGUAAUCAGUAGGUCGUAGGUUCGAUCCCUAUAGGCAGCA